rnacentral:lncRNA from 1 species
AUGCAAUGCCUUUUCCCAGUCUCUGUGGGUGUGGAUCCUACUCCUCCUUUUGAGGCCCAGCGACAAUGCCCGUUCCUCUGGAAAUCCUGCCCCGAUCCCAGAGUGACAGGUGGCGCAAAUCCAGGCGGUGGCUGGUGCUGUCAGCAGUCCUGCAAUACAGUGGAACCGCCUGCCGUCACGAGAGUCUGUCCUCCAGGGUCUGAAGUUCCUGGCGACCAAAGGCCCAGCCCCAUUCAUCACUCCACGCUGUAGGCUGGUGGCCUGAGUGGUACGUGGAAAAAUACGUAGGACUUGGAGCAAAAGCAGGCCGGAAUGCCAUGGAUUCAGAGGUGGCUGUUUCCUCCUAGGUAGACUCAAAAGAGCACUGGCUGAGGAGUCCACGGGUAAGGAGACAGUGUUGCAUCAUGCCCUAGACCUUGGGCUCUUGAACCGGCUGCCUGGAUUCAGCUCCAGCUUAUCAGCUCUGUGACUUCGAGUAAAUCUUUAAUUUUGUUGAGUCUCAACUAUAAAACGAGCACAAGAAUGGGGCCUACCUCUUUGGGCUGGUGAGACAAUGCAUGAAAGAUGCGGCAUGCAGCAGAUGUGCUGGGCCCCUUCUGCUGUUCUCUUGACCCUCGUGUCACCUGCAGGCUUUCUGGGUGGUUCCAGCAUGCCCAUGGCCGCCUCCUUCAAGCGCCUGUGAUUCUCUCUGCCCAAGGGCUUCUCUAGCUACAUGAGGGUGUUUAGUCCCAACAUGGGGCAU